CACUAGCAAACUUCAGUUCUCCAGGCCAGAUUGUGGCUCUGAGCUCCUUGGGCCCCAGAAUGGGGCUGGGUGCCCAGGAAGGCCAGGUCUCCUUUGGCUUGCUGUCUGCUCCAUGACCUGCCCAACCAGCACAGCCAGUGUGGAGGCCAGGUCCUGGCUGUCCUCCCCACCCACGGAGGCCCUGCCCUCAAUCCAGCACCCGGUGUUCCCAAAACCUGGGCCCCAAGAGAAGAGAGGUGCACAGGGCCGCUCGGGAGGAAGGCCCGUGCAGGCAGAGAGAGUCACAGGAGCCGGGCAGCCCAGGGUGGCACUGGGCUCUGAAUCUCAGCUCCCUCCGCCCUCACUCUCUGCCCAGGGCAGGUCGCAGAACUUCACACCCAGGAUUCUCCUCCGUAAAAUGGGAAGUACCAGAUGGAGGCACAGUGGUACCCACCUGAGCUGUAGGCCCGUGCCCGCAUGGAUGAGUACCUGGCAUGGCAGCAUGUCGCCAUCCAGCUGCAAGCUAUAAUGCAGGCUUGGGCCAGGACCCCUAGGGCUGGAAGGGACCAGUUGGCCCAUAUCCCACCUACCAUCCACUGCCCCUGGCAGACAUGGCUAAUCUAUCACAGCACUCUUUCCCCUGAGCCUGAACGAAACUUCAGAAUCCUGAACACAGAGCCCACAGGGCACCACUAAUGGGUGGUGGCUGGAGAGGGCGGAGAGGAGGCUGAGGAGGUUUGGAGGGGCCCAAGAUAAGCUGCCCCUCUCUUCCCCACCCAGUCUCUCCUGCUCCACUUCUUGGGGCAGCCUGUGGACACCACAAAGCCGGAGCAGCUGUUGGGGAAGCUGACAGCUGCUCUGUAACACUUGGAUCGGCAAGUCCUGGUGGCCAAGGCUUUCUUGGUGACCGAGCAAGUCUCCCCUGAUGAGGAUUUUAGGCUGGUUAAUUUUAAAACUGCAGAUGAGAAGCAGGCUCCGAGGAGUGGAAUUUGCUCGCCCUUUGAUGAGAGACAGUUGCAUUUGUGAAGGAAAUCUCCAUUCCUCCCUCUGCGCCAGGAGGAAGUAGGGAUGGCCUUAUCUAUGAAAACUCUUAAUGGGGAAGGCAAGAACUUAAGUUGUUUACUGUCUGGCAACCUCAUGUAACUGCCCCCCCCACCGCCCCCCCCCACCCCCCCCGCCAAAAUCCUCUUUUGUGUUUAGCUGAGGAUAAUAUUUGAGCGGUGACUUCUGCCAUUUACUCAAUCCGGUUUGAUUCUUACCUAAAAGUUGUGGGACCGCCCAAUGGCCGGACCCUACUGGCACUGGUACCAUUUUAACUUUUUUUUUGUCUUGUAAAGAGAUAACUCACAUACCCAUGCCUUAAAUUUAGCCCUGUCCCCACGCGGCAGAAGCUCUGACUGCCCAUGGGUCCUGUCCCCACGCGGCAGAAGCUCUGACUGCCCAUGGGCCCUGUCCCCACGCGGCAGAAGCUCUGACUGCCCAUGGGUCCUGUCCCCGUGCUAUUCUAUACUAUUCUCUAAAUAAAAGAGCACUACUGCCA
rnacentral:lncRNA from 1 species